rnacentral:rRNA from 1 species
CAGUAGCCACGGGAAUACGAAGGGGGCUAGCGUUGUUCGGAAUUACUGGGCGUAAAGCGCACGUAGGCGGAUCGAUCAGUCAGGGGUGAAAUCCCAGGGCUCAACCCUGGAACUGCCUUUGAUACUGUCGAUCUGGAGUAUGGAAGAGGUGAGUGGAAUUCCGAGUGUAGAGGUGAAAUUCGUAGAUAUUCGGAGGAACACCAGUGGCGAAGGCGGCUCACUGGUCCAUUACUGACGCUGAGGUGCGAAAGCGUGGGGAGCAAACAGGAUUAGAUACCCCUGUAGUCCCUGUCUCUUAUAC